GAAAUGCGAUAAGUAAUGUGAAUUGCAGAAUUCCGUGAAUCAUCGAAUCUUUGAACGCACAUUGCGCCCUCUGGUAUUCCGGGGGGCAUGCCUGUCCGAGCGUCAUUGCGAACCCCUCAAGCACGGCUUGUGUGAUGGGCCCUCCCGCGUCUUGGUCGUCAAGACGGGCCCGAAAUGCAGUGGUGGCUUCGCGGUUAUCCGAUCAGCCAGAGCGUAUGGGGACUUUCUCUCUGUCACACGCCCGCGGCGCGGACCGACGCCUGUCGACCUUUAUUCAUCUUUUUCUCGGUUGACCUCGGAUCAGGUAGGGAUACCCGCUGAACUUAAGC
rnacentral:misc_RNA from 1 species